CUGGAAAUCGUUACGGCUGUGCAUGUUUGUUUUGGUUUGUUGAGUGUAUAUAUAUGCAGAUUGGAAGGCGGUUUGUGUUAAAAUUGGCGACGUUUGGUGAGCCAUGGACAAAAGGGAGCUCGACACAAUAGCAAACACUGAGACGGUGGACAACCAGCAACAUGAUCAGGGAACAGCCACCACAGCAGAACCAAAUAAAACAUCCAAUUUACCUUGGUUUCUGAGACCCGGCGCAUAUUCAUUUUUACAGGGUAGGGGCCAGGUAUCAUCUCAGAUUCCAACCACAAAGUGAAGCAGGACUUGACAAGACGCAGGAAAAAUGGGUUCUGCUUUUUUGCUCCGUUGUUUGGAGCUUUCCAUUAGGGUGCUGUAAUUCAAUGAUGAAUUGGAAUUGUUCAUAAAAUGUGCUGUCCUAUAAAAUGUAAUUACAUGCGUGAUGGAGUGCUUAUUAAACAUGUGGAAAAAGUGCUCACUUCUGGGAUGUUGACUGUUGUCAGCUAGCUCAUCAUAGUACUUUUUAUCUGUGUUGACAAAACUGUGAAUCAAUACCGCAGCAAUUCAGUGUUUUUAAUUGCAACACUUUGUCAACAAUAAGUAACCUAUAACAUCCAUGCAUUUUUCAUAUUUCAUUUAGCACAAUAUUGUUAUUUGUUUUUCAAUUUGAAAGCUUUAUAUGGUCCUUAAACGUAAUAAGAAAAAUUAAACAUUUAAAAAAAAAAUUUGAUUUGUAUAUGGCGGAAAACACAGACAAGACUGAAAAAGCAGUUUUUGCUCUUGCGUUCCUCUUUAUAAGAAAAUGCUGUAUUUUAAGCCAAAACAACUGUUGUGUUUGAUAGAACAAUAUGUCUAUAUGCUGCCAUAGCAGAUUCAUGCCGCAUUAAGCCCCCAAACUAGUUUUAAUUUUUCCAUCUUACCCUGAAAACCCCCGUUUACAGACGUCGCGCAACCUCUUUUGUUUGUUUGUUGCUUUUGUCUCCUUUUUCGGCCACAAAUCUUCCCUCUCCCCUUCUGUGACUAAUUUGGGAGUCAGGUUUGACCCCCAUCUUAGCUUUAACAAUCACAUCAAUUACAUUUGCAAAACCUCCUUCUUUCACCUCCGCAAUAUUGCCAAACUCCGGCCAUCUCUCUCCCGUCCUGCUGCAGAGAGACUCGUACAUGCCUUUAUCUCCUCCAGGUUGGACUAUUGCAAUGCACUCCUCAUCGGGAUCCCUGGCAAGAGCCUACAGAGGCUUCAGUAUGUCCAAAAUAGCGCUGCCAGGGUCCUGAUGAGGGUGCGUAAACAUGAGCACAUCACCCCCAUCCUCCGCACCCUACACUGGCUCCCUGUUCACCUCCGUAUUGAAUUCAAAAUCCUCCUUCACACCCAUCACUGUCUACACGGUGUAGCCCCCACCUACCUCACCGAACUCCUCACAUUACAUACUUCAGACAGAACCCGGUCAGGCCAACAGCACCGUCUACUCCCGCCCAGGACUCGGCUCAAGACUAUGGGCUACAGGGCCUUUACAGCUGCUGCCCCCCGUCUGUGGAACGCCCUCCCAGACCAUCUCAGAGCCCCGCAGAUGGUGGAUGCAUUUAAAAAAGGACUAAAAACUCACCUUUUUAAAAAAGCUUAUUCUAGCUAAUUUUAUUUGACUGUCUUACUUGUAUCUGAUUGGUAUCUGAUUUUAUCUGUGCUUGUGUCUGUUUUGCUUUUACUGUUUUAU